rnacentral:lncRNA from 1 species
ACCCAACAGACACCAUGAUUAUCAAUCUAAUUUUAAUUUCAAUAAAAAUUAAAAAUAUAUAGAAAGUAGUGAGUCAGAUCGAAUCCACAAAGAAGAUUGAAUUUUGAUUUGAAAUCUUUGAUUUUAUCAAAAAAAUAAAAUUUUGAAUAUAGCAAUUUAAAUCAAAAAAUAAAAAUUAAAAAUAUAAAAAAUAAAUCAGGUACUA